AAGGAAGAAAUUUAUAAUUUUAGCUGGAAGCUCUGAUCUAUCUACUAGCCAGUCGCGUAGAAGACCAUCAGCAUCUAAUUUAGGAGGCCCGGCAAAUAAAAGAAAAUGUGGAAUAUGUAAGGAAAGAGGUCAUAACAGAAAAAAUUGUCCGCUGAACAGAUGACAGUAUAUAAAUAGCCGAAUUUAGAACAUUGAUUACUAUUUGUAAUUUUUAUUGUAUAUAUGUACAUAAGUAUUAUUUUUAAAAAACUGAUCAUAAAUUAGUUUUUUAAGUAUUAAAAUAAGUAAUUUUCAAAAUUAGAGAUUUAAUGUGUUUUCUUUC